rnacentral:rRNA from 1 species
GAUGAACGCUGGCGGCGUGCCUAAUACAUGCAAGUCGAGCGAACAGACGAGGAGCUUGCUCCUCUGACGUUAGCGGCGGACGGGUGAGUAACACGUGGAUAACCUACCUAUAAGACUGGGAUAACUUCGGGAAACCGGAGCUAAUACCGGAUAAUAUAUUGAACCGCAUGGUUCAAUAGUGAAAGACGGUUUUGCUGUCACUUAUAGAUGGAUCCGCGCCGCAUUAGCUAGUUGGUAAGGUAACGGCUUACCAAGGCGACGAUGCGUAGCCGACCUGAGAGGGGGAUCGGCCACACUGGAACUGAGACACGGUCCAGACUACUACGGGAGGCAGCAGUAGGGAAUCUUCCGCAAUGGGCGAAAGCCUGACGGAGCAACGCCGCGUGAGUGAUGAAGGUCUUCGGAUCGUAAAACUCUGUUAUUAGGGAAGAACAAAUGUGUAAGUAACUAUGCACGUCUUGACGGUACCUAAUCAGAAAGCCACGGCUAACUACGUG